rnacentral:rRNA from 1 species
CUCAUGGAGAGUUCGAUCCUGGCUCAGGAUGAACGCUAGCUACAGGCUUAACACAUGCAAGUCGAGGGGCAGCAUGGUCUUAGCUUGCUAAGGCCGAUGGCGACCGGCGCACGGGUGAGUAACACGUAUCCAACCUGCCGUCUACUCUUGGACAGCCUUCUGAAAGGAAGAUUAAUACAAGAUGGCAUCAUGAGUCCGCAUGUUCACAUGAUUAAAGGUAUUCCGGUAGACGAUGGGGAUGCGUUCCAUUAGAUAGUAGGCGGGGUAACGGCCCACCUAGUCUUCGAUGGAUAGGGGUUCUGAGAGGAAGGUCCCCCACAUUGGAACUGAGACACGGUCCAGACUCCUACGGGAGGCAGCAGUGAGGAAUAUUGGUCAAUGGGCGAGA